UAAGGAAUAUUGGUCAAUGGACGCAAGUCUGAACCAGCCAUGCCGCGUGAAGGAUGAAGGUCCUCUGGAUUGUAAACUUCUUUUAUCUGGGACGAAAACGGGAUUUUUAUCUCAAUUGACGGUACCAGAGGAAUAAGCACCGGCUAACUCCGUGCCAGCAGCCGCGGUAAUACGGAGGGUGCGAGCGUUAUCCGGAGUUACUGGGUUUAAAGGGUGCGUAGGUGGGCUUAUAAGUCAGUGGUGAAAGCUCCGAGCUUAACUUGGAAACUGCCGUUGAUACUAUAGGUCUUGAAUUAUCUGGAGGUAAGCGGAAUAUGUCAUGUAGCGGUGAAAUGCUUAGAGAUGACAUAGAACACCAAUGGCGAAGGCAGCUUACUACAUAUAAAUUGACGCUGAGGCACGAAAGCGUGGGGAUCAAACA
rnacentral:rRNA from 1 species